UCGAUUAGAGUUUGAUCCUGGCUCAGAAUGAACGCUGGCGGCGCGCCUAAUACAUGCAAGUCGAGCGAGAAGACGUAGCAAUACGUUUGUAAAGCGGCGAACGGGUGAGGAAUACAUGGGUAACCUACCCUCGAGUGGGGAAUAACUAGCCGAAAGGUCAGCUAAUACCGCGUACGCUCUUUGGACUUCGGUUCAGGGAGGAAAGCGAUGCCGUGGGUAUCGCGCUCUUGGUUGGGCUCAUGUCCUAUCAGCUUGUUGGUGAGGUAACGGCUCACCAAGGCUUCGACGGGUAGCUGGUCUGAGAGGACGAUCAGCCACACUGGCACUGCGACACGGGCCAGACUCCUACGGGAGGCAGCAGUAAGGAAUAUUGCGCAAUGGGCGAAAGCCUGACGCAGCGACGCCGCGUGGGGGAUGAAGGUCUUCGGAUUGUAAACCCCUUUCGGGAGGGAAGAUGGAGUGGGGUAACCCAUUCGGACGGUACCUCCAGAAGCAGCCACGGCUAACUUCGUGCCAGCAGCCGCGGUAAUACGAAGGUGGCAAGCGUUAUUCGGAUUUACUGGGCGUACAGGGAGCGUNNNCGGUUCGGUAAGCCCUCUGUGAAAUCUUCAGGCUUAACCUGGAAAAGUNNNANGGGACUGCUGGGCUAGAG
rnacentral:rRNA from 1 species